GGAAUCUUCCGCAAUGGACGAAAGUCUGACGGAGCAAUGCCGCGUGAGUGAAGAAGGUUUUCGGAUCGUAAAACUCUGUUGUUAGAGAAGAACAAGGAUGAGAGUAACUGCUCAUCCCCUGACGGUAUCUAACCAGAAAGCCACGGCUAACUACGUGCCAGCAGCCGCGGUAAUACGUAGGUGGCAAGCGUUGUCCGGAUUUAUUGGGCGUAAAGC
rnacentral:rRNA from 1 species